rnacentral:rRNA from 1 species
UACGUAGGCAGCGAGCGUUGUUCGGAAUCACUGGGCGUAAAGCGCGUGUAGGCGGCCUCCUAAGUCUGGUGUGAAAGCCCGGGGCUUACCCCCGGAAGUGCACUGGAAACUGAGAGGCUGGAGUACCGGAGAGGAAGGUGGAAUUCCUGGUGUAGCGGUGAAAUGCGUAGAUAUCAGGAGGAACACCGGUGGCGAAGGCGGCCUUCUGGACGGAUACUGACGCUGAGACGCGAAAGCGUGGGGAGCAAACAGG